rnacentral:rRNA from 1 species
GAUGAACGCUAGCGGCAGGCUUAAUACAUGCAAGUCGUGGGGCAGCAGGUCUGUAGCAAUACAGAUGCUGGCGACCGGCAAACGGGUGCGGAACACGUACACAACCUUCCUUUAAGUGGGGAAUAGCCCAGAGAAAUUUGGAUUAAUACCCCGUAACAUAUAGAAGUGGCAUCGCUUUUAUAUUAUAGCUCCGGCGCUUAAAGAUGGGUGUGCGGCUGAUUAGAUAGUUGGCGGGGUAACGGCCCACCAAGUCGACGAUCAGUAACUGGUGUGAGAGCACGACCAGUCACACGGGCACUGAGACACGGGCCCGACUCCUACGGGAGGCAGCAGUAAGGAAUAUUGGUCAAUGGACGCAAGUCUGAACCAGCCAUGCCGCGUGGAGGAUGAAGGUCCUCUGGAUUGUAAACUUCUUUUAUUUGGGAAGAAAUCUAUCUUUUCUUGGAUAGUUGACGGUACCAGAUGAAUAAGCACCGGCUAACUCCGUGCCAGCAGCCGCCGUAAUAC